rnacentral:rRNA from 1 species
AACGAACGCUGGCGGCAUGCCUAACACAUGCAAGUCGAACGAGACCAUCGGGUCUAGUGGCGCACGGGUGCGUAACGCGUGGGAACCUGCCCUUAGGUUCGGAAUAACUCCCCGAAAGGGGUGCUAAUACCGGAUAAUGUCUUCGGACCAAAGAUUUAUCGCCUUUGGAUGGGCCCGCGUUGGAUUAGCUAGUUGGUAGGGUAAAAGCCUACCAAGGCGACGAUCCAUAGCUGGUCUGAGAGGAUGAUCAGCCACACUGGGACUGAGACACGGCCCAGACUCCUACGGGAGGCAGCAGUGGGGAAUAUUGGACAAUGGGAGAAAGCCUGAUCCAGCAAUGCCGAGUGAGUGAUGAAGGACUUAGGGUUGUAAAGCUCUUUUACCCGGGAUGAUAAUGACAGUACCGGGAGAAUAAGCUCCGGCUAACUCCGUG